UACAGAGGUCUCAAGCGUUGUUCGGAUUCAUUGGGCGUAAAGGGUGCGUAGGUGGCGCCAUAAGUCAGGUGUGAAAUUUCGGAGCUUAACUCCGAAACUGCAUUUGAUACUGCGGUGCUUGAGGACUGGAGAGGAGACUGGAAUUCACGGUGUAGCAGUGAAAUGCGUAGAUAUCGUGAGGAAGACCAGUGGCGAAGGCGGGUCUCUGGACAGUUCCUGACACUGAGGCACGAAGGCCAGGGGAGCAAACGGG
rnacentral:rRNA from 1 species